rfam:Hanseniaspora valbyensis NRRL Y-1626 HANVAscaffold_167, whole genome shotgun sequence.
UCCUUGUUAGCUCAGUCGGUAGAGCGUUCGACUUUUAAACUUUCUAAAAGCCACAAAGGAAUCGAAAUGUCAGGGGUUCGAGCCCCCUAUGAGGAG